GACGAACGCUGGCGGCGUGCUUAACACAUGCAAGUCGAACGGAAAGGCCCUGCUUUUGUGGGGUGCUCUAGUGGCGAACGGGUGAGUAACACGUGAGUAACCUGCCCUUUACUUUUGGAUAACUUCAUGAAACUGGGUCUAAUACCGGAUAGGAGCUCCUGCUUCUUGGUGGGGGUUGGAAAGUUUCGGCGGUUGGGGAUGGACUCGCGGCUUAUCAGCUUGUUGGUGGGGUAGUGGCUUACCAAGGCUUUGACGGGUGGCCGGCCUGAGAGGGUGACCGGCCACAUUGGGACUGAGAUACGGCCCAGACUCCUACGGGAGGCAGAAGUGGGGAAUAUUGCACAAUGGGCGGAAGCCUGAUGCAGCAACGCCGCGUGCGGGAUGACGGCCUUCGGGUUGUAAACCGCUUUCGCCUGUGACGAAGCGUGAGUGACGGUAAUGGGUAAAGAAGCACCGGCUAACUACGUG
rnacentral:rRNA from 1 species